rnacentral:rRNA from 1 species
UGCGUAGGCGGCGCAAUAAGUCAGUGGUGAAAUCCUGCGGCUUAACCGUAGAAUGGCCAUUGAAACUGUUGUCCUUGAGUAUAGUUGAAGUGGGCGGAAUAUGUAAUGUAGCGGUGAAAUGCAUAGAUAUUACAUAGAACACCAAUUGCGAAGGCAGCUCACUAAGCUAUUACUGACGCUGAGGCACGAAAGCGUGGGGAGCGAACAGGAUUAGAUACCCUGGUAGUC